CACAGCAAACUGUUUCUAGGUGCAUCCAUGAGGUCACGGAUGCCUUGAAUAGAGCUGAGAUUUUGAGGAAGUACAUUCGCUUCCCACAAAAUAGGGAAGAAAGGAAUGUCAUCAAACAAAAAUUUUCCGAUAGAUAUGGGAUACCGGGGGUAUGUGGCUGCAUAGACUGCACCCACAUUAAAAUAAUAAGGCCCGCUGAGCAUGAAGAGCGGUGCUUUAAUAGGAAACAUUGGCAUUCCAUUAACUGCCAAGUGGUGACUCAGGGUAUCAUCUCCGGUCAUUCAUGAUGACUCCAGUGGACCAUGCAGUAGACGACUCACCUGAAGGGCGCUACAAUAUAAUUCAGAAACGUGCCCGUUCCACUGUAGAGCACACAUUUGGAAUACUAAA